GGCUGGUUUUGGCUGAUUUUCUUUGGUUACUAAACAUUUCCGUUUAUUUUAUUCUCCAAGUUCUUGAACACGACAAGUAAACAAACUAUGUCCGAUCUUCUUAAGUUCCGAAGCAAUGAUGAAUGCUAAUCACAUCAUCACCAAAUAUAUGUAUGUGUAUGUAUAUAUGCAUGCAUGGGAGUGUGAGUGAGUGAGCGAGCGAGUGAGAGCUAGAGAGAGAGAUGUUGGAAGGUAAGUGAUGAACUUAAUACUACAG